GACGAACCGUCCGAACGUUAUUCGGAAUCACUGGGCUUAAAGGGUGCGUAGGCGGCGCGGAAAGUUGGGUGUGAAAUCCCUCGGCUUAACCGAGGAACGGCGCCCAAAACUACCGUGCUCGAGGGAGAUAGAGGUGAGCGGAACUUAGGGUGGAGCGGUGAAAUGCGUUGAUAUCCUAAGGAACACCGGUGGCGAAAGCGGCUCACUGGAUCUCUUCUGACGCUGAUGCACGAAAGCGUGGGGAGCAAACAGG
rnacentral:rRNA from 1 species